rnacentral:rRNA from 1 species
AGCAGCCGCGGUAAUUCCAGCUCCAAUAGCGUAUAUUAAAGUUGUUGCAGUUAAAAAGCUCGUAGUUGAAUUUCGGGAUCAAUUUAUUGGUCGUGCUAUUGUACGUACUGGUAUUAUUGAUUCCUACCUUCUGACGAACCAUGAUGUCAUUAAUUUGGUGUCAUGGGGAAUCAGGACUGUUACUUUGAAAAAUUAGAGUGUUUAAAGCAGGCUCACGCUUGAAUACAUUAGCAUGGAAUAACGAAAUAGGACGUUUGAUUCUAUUUUGUUGGUUUCUAGGAUCGACGUAAUGAUUAAUAGGGAUAGUUGGGGGCAUUAGUAUUCAAUUGUCAGAGGUNAAAAUUCUUGGAUUUUAUUGAAGACUAACUACUGCGAAAGCAUUUGCCAAGGAU